GCGGACGUGGCGGAACUGGCAGACGCGCUAGACUUAGGCUCUAGUUGGAAACAGUGGGGGUUCAAGUCCCUUCGUCCGCACCA
rnacentral:tRNA from 1 species